GAUGAAGAACGUAGUGAAAUGCGAUAAGUAAUGUGAAUUGCAGAAUUCAGUGAAUCAUCGAAUCUUUGAACGCACAUUGCGCCCGCCAGCAUUCUGCCGGGCAUGCCUGUUCGAGCGUCAUUUCAACCCUCGAGCCCCCCCGGGGGCCUCGGUGUUGGGGGACGGCACACCAGCCGCCCCCGAAAUGCAGUGGCGACCUCGCCGCAGCCUCCCCUGCGUAGUAGCACACACCUCGCACCGGAGCGCGGAGACGGUCACGCCGUAAAACGCCCAACUUCUUAGAGUUGACCUCGGAUCAGGUAGGAAUACCCGCUGAACUUAAGCAUAUCAAUAAGCGGAGGA
rnacentral:misc_RNA from 1 species